GGUCUUGAACUCUUGACCUCGAGUAAUCCUCCUGCCUCAGCCUCCCAAAGUGUUGGGAUUGCAGAUAUGAGCCACUGGCCUGGCCUUCAGCAGUUCUUUUUGUGAAGUAAAACUUGUAUGUUGGAAAGAGUAGAUUUUAUUGGUCUACCCUUUUCUCACUGUAGCUGCUGGCAGCCCUGUGCCAUAUCUGGACUCUAGUUGUCAGUAUCUGAGUUGGACACUAUUCCUGCUCCCUCUGGUUUCUUACAUAGCAGACUUCUUACUUGAAUGAACCUGAUCUUUCCUAAUCCUCACUUUUUUCUUUUUUAAAAUAGCAGUUUCUCCACUGCUAAAUGUUAGUCAUUGAGGUGGGGCCAAUUUUAAUCAUAAGCCUUAAUAAGAUUUUUCUAAGAAAUGUGAAAUAGAACAAUUUUCAUCUAAUUCCAUUUACUUUUAGAUGAAUGACAUUGUGAAUGCCAUUCUUUUAAUGAAUUUCAAGAGAAUUCUCUGGUUUUCUGUGUAAUUCCAGAUGAGUCACUGUAACUCUAGAAGAUUAACCUUCCAACCAACCUAUUUUCCUUUCCCUUGUCUCUCUCUCCCUCUUUUCCUUCCUUCUUUCCUUUCUCUUCUUUUAUCUCCAAGGUUAAUCAGGAAAAAUAGCUUUUGACAGGGGAAAAAACUCAAUAACUAGCUAUUUUUGACCUCCUGAUCAGGAACUUUAGUUGAAGCGUAAAUCUAAAGAAACAUUUUCUCUGAAAUAUAUUAUUAAGGGCAAUGGAGAUAAAUUAAUAGUAGACGUGGUUCCCAGAAAAUAUAAUCAAAAUUCAAAGAUUUUUUUUGUUUCUGUAACUGGAACUAAAUCAAAUGAUUACUAGUGUUAAUAGUAGAUAACUUGUUUUUAUUGUUGGUGCAUAUUAGUGUAACUGUGGGGUAGGUCGGGGAGAGGGUAAGGGAAUAGAUCACUCAGAUGUAUUUUAGAUAAGCUAUUUAGCCUUUGAUGGAAUCAUAAAUACAGUGAAUACAAUCCUUUGCAUUGUUAAGGAGGUUUUUUGUUUUUAAAUGGUGGGUCAAGGAGCUAGUUUACAGGCUUACUGUGAUUUAAGCAAAUGUGAAAAGUGAAACCUUAAUUUUAUCAAAAGAAAUUUCUGUAAAUGGUAUGUCUCCUUAGAAUACCCAAAUCAUAAUUUUAUUUGUACACACUGUUAGGGGCUCAUCUCAUGAGGAUUCCUUGAGCCCUGGAGUUUGAGUCCAGCCUGGGUGACAUAGCAAGACCCUGUCUUAAAAGAAAAAUGGGAAGAAAGACAAGGUAACAUGAAGAAAGAAGAGAUACCUAAUAUGAUGGAGCUGCAAAUUUCAUGGCAGUUCAUGCAGUUGGUCAAGAGGAGGAUUUUGUUUUGUAGUUUGCAGAUGAGCAUUUCUAAAGCAUUUUCCCUUGCUGUAUUUUUUUGUAUUAUAAAUUACAUUGGACUUCAUAUAUAUAAAUUUUUUUUACAUUAUAUGUCUCUUGUAUGUUUUGAAACUCUUGUAUUUAUGAUAUAGCUUAUACGAUUUUUUUGCCUUGGUAUACAUUUUAAAAUAUGAAUUUAAAAAAUUUUUGUAAAAAUAAAAUUCACAAAA
rnacentral:sRNA from 1 species